rnacentral:rRNA from 1 species
GUGGGGAAUAUUGGACAAUGGGGGGAACCCUGAUCCAGCCAUGCCGCGUGUGUGAAGAAGGCCUUUUGGUUGUCAAGCACUUUAAGCGAGGAGGAGGCUACCGACAUUAAUACUCUUGGAUAGUGGACGUUACUCGCAGAAUAAGCACCGGCUAACUCUGUGCCAGCAGCCGCGGUAAUACAGAGGGUGCAAGCGUUAAUCGGAUUUACUGGGCGUAAAGCGCGCGUAGGUGGCCAAUUAAGUCAAAUGUGAAAUCCCCGAGCUUAACUUGGGAAUUGCAUUCGAUACUGGUUGGCUAGAGUAUGGGAGAGGAUGGUAGAAUUCCAGGUGUAGCGGUGAAAUGCGUAGAGAUCUGGAGGAAUACCGAUGGCGAAGGCAGCCAUCUGGCCUAAUACUGACACUGAGGUGCGAAAGCAUGGGGAGCAAACAGGAUUAGAAACCCUUGUAGUCC